AGAGUUUGAUCAUGGCUCAGAUUGAACGCUGGCGGCAUGCCUAACACAUGCAAGUCGAACGGAAACGAUGCUAGCUUGCUAGCAGGCGUCGAGUGGCGGACGGGUGAGUAAUGUAUAGGAACUUGCCCAGUAGUGGGGGACAACUUAUGGAAACGUAAGCUAAUACCGCAUAAUCUCUACGGAGGAAAGCAGGGGCUCUUUGGACCUUGUGCUACUGGAUAGGCCUAUAUCGGAUUAGCUAGUUGGUGAGGUAAAGGCUCACCAAGGCGACGAUCCGUAGCUGGUUUGAGAGAAUGAUCAGCCACACUGGGACUGAGACACGGCCCAGACUCCUACGGGAGGCAGCAGUGGGGAAUAUUGCACAAUGGAGGCAACUCUGAUGCAGCAAUGCCGCGUGUGUGAAGAAGGCCUUAGGGUUGUAAAGCACUUUCAAUAGGGAGGAAAAGUGAGUAGUUAAUACCUGCUCGCCGUGACGUUACCUAUAGAAGAAGGACCGGCUAACUCCGUGCCAGCAGCCGCGGUAAUACGGAGGGUCCGAGCGUUAAUCGGAAUUACUGGGCGUAAAGCGCGCGUAGGCGGAUAUUUAAGUCAGAUGUGAAAUCCCUGGGCUCAACCUAGGAACUGCAUUUGAAACUGAAUAUCUAGAGUAUGGUAGAGGUGAGUGGAAUUUCAGGUGUAGCGGUGAAAUGCGUAGAGAUCUGAAGGAACAUCAGUGGCGAAGGCGACUCACUGGGCCAUUACUGACGCUGAGGUGCGAAAGCGUGGGUAGC
rnacentral:rRNA from 1 species